ACUGGGCGCGGUGGCGCGUGACUGUAGUCUAGCUACUGGGGAGGCUGAGGUGGGAGGAUCGCUUGAGCCCAGGAGUUCUGGGCUGCAGUGCGCUAUGCCAAUUGGGUGUCCGCAGUAAGUUUGGCAUCAAUAUGGUGACCUCCUGGGAGUGGGGAACCACCAGGUUACCUAAGGAGGGGCGAACAGGCCCAGGUUGGAAACGGAGCAGGUCAAAACUCCCGUGCUGAUCAGUAGUGGCAUCGCGCCUGUGAAUAGCCACUGCACUCCAGCCUGGGCAACAUAGGAGACCCUGUCUCU
rnacentral:SRP_RNA from 1 species